AUGGCCCUGCCACAUUGAGUGCAGCCUCCCGGGCAUGCAGGUCCAUGAUAUUCAAAGAACAUUUUAUGAAGAAUACAUCCUGUGAAAGAUAAAGCUGGUCAAAAGUGCAAGCCUACCAAUGUGUUUGAUUUUCCUAAUAAUUCUGCCGUCUCAAGAAUUGGCAGGCUUGGUGAAAAUGAGAAAGAUGAAGAACCUUAUGAAACCUUUGAUCCUCCUUUACACAGCUCAUCUAUGUAUGCCAAUGAAGAAUUCUCCAAAUAUUGUGGAUUAUCUACCACUUCAACUCCUGCAGGAAAAGAAGCAAAAAGAAGCUCGAGCACUUCUGAAAAUGAAGGAAGUGAAAACGAAUCUGCAAAAAUGAGUGCAAAAAGCCAGGAAGAAAACUCAAACUCAGCGAUGAGUCUGAAAGCACUGAAGAAAGUGAUGUGAGAAGAAAAGUUAAGUCAGUGGAGAAAAUAAAGACCCAACAACACGAGGCUAUUCCAACUACAGCAUCUUCAGCCCUUUCAGAGAAACCAGCCGACUCAGUCACUUCCAAAACCAUAGGACCCAUUAAUGCCCAGCCAUCUGUUGAAAAAGACACACUGACAACAGAAAGUCAAGCAAAACCCAGAAAAAAGGGAAUAUAUCUUAUGGCAAAAGGAAGAAAUCAAGAAGUGAAGCAAUAGACUCAGAUAUUUCCAACAUUGUGCAUAUUUGGUGUCUGGAAGGAAGGAAAACCAACGACAUCAUGGAAUUGAAUAUUGUUUUGCCUGCAUUUGAGAAAAACCUCGUCCAGUAUAAACAUUGAAUAGAAUCUAAAAUUUGUAAGAAACACAUCAAUAAAUUUUAUUGUACUAGUAAAGAAGAACUCAACAAAAUGCUUAAAAAGUCCAGAUAUUGAAAAAUCUGAAAAAGAAGAAUGCUAAGGUAAUUUCAGAUAUCAAAAAGAAAUGACAGCGUUUGACUGAAGUCCAGGAUGAGCUGCUUUGGUUAGAGCCACCAACUGAAACAACUACAAACAAAAUAUUAUGAACUUAAGGAGAGAACAGUCUUCCCUUAGGAAUGCAGCUAUUUCUUAUCUAAUUCAAAACAACUCCAUCGGAAGUAUUCAGAUGUUCAGGAGAAAGAACCAAACGUAAAGGAAACAUAAGAUUCAUCCAGCCUUCCAGGUGUUAUUUAAAGUAGGAACACUUUUGGGAGCUGA
rnacentral:lncRNA from 1 species